UGGGGAAUUUUGGACAAUGGGGGAAACCCGUGAUCCAGCCAUCCCGCGUGUGCGAUGAAGGCCUUCGGGUUGUAAAGCACUUUUGGCAGGAAAGAAACGUCGCGGGUUAAUACCCCGCGAAACUGACGGUACCUGCAGAAUAAGCACCGGCUAACUACGUGCCAGCAGCCGCGGUAAUACGUAGGGUGCAAGCGUUAAUCGGAAUUACUGGGCGUAAAGCGUGCGCAGGCGGUUCGGAAAGAAAGAUGUGAAAUCCCAGAGCUUAACUUUGGAACUGCAUUUUUAACUACCGGGCUAGAGUGUGUCAGAGGGAGGUGGAAUUCCGCGUGUAGCAGUGAAAUGCGUAGAUAUGCGGAGGAACACCGAUGGCGAAGGCAGCCUCCUGGGGAUAACACUGACGCUCAUGCACGAAAGCGUGGGGAGCAAACAGGAUUAGAUACCCUGG
rnacentral:rRNA from 1 species